ACUAAAACACUAACCAAUGUAAGUAUUUACUAAAGUAUUUGUGAAAUAUUUUUGCUACCUUGUAUGACUUAUUCUUAGAUCUAAUCAUAUAAACUGAUACUGAGGUAACCCUUUUACACAGUAAUCUGUACAGUACUCUCACUUCUUACAGAUCAUGCUGGUUAAGGUGAAACUUGGGGAUGCCCAAAAAUUUGUCAAGAUAACCGAGCUGAGCCUGUAGGAAUUUCUAUCUGCUGCAUUUUUAAAGUUUGGUGUCCCAGCUGUACCAGAGAAUGUGAAGGUUUUGGAUGAGUCAGGGACUGAGGUGGAUGGUGAUGUUUUUGAGGAUGUAGUCAGAGAUCCCUCAGUUGGAGUUCUUACCAUAAAACAUGGUGCAGACUUGGAUUCUGCUUCUCCACAAGCCUCUCAUGAGCAGUCAAAUCGGUCCCGCACUCCAUCCAUGGAC